AGGGGGCCGCAGUGAAAAGGCCCAAGCGACUGUUUAGCAAAAACACAGGUCUGUGCGAAGCCGCAAGGCGAAGUAUACGGGCUGACGCCUGCCCGGUGCUGGAAGGUUAAGGGGAGUGGUAAGCCUUUGGGCGAAGCUAUGAACCGAAGCCCCAGUAAACGGCGGCCGUAACUAUAACGGUCCUAAGGUAGCGAAAUUCCUUGUCAGGUAAAUUCUGACCCGCACGAAUGGCGUAACGACUUGGGCGCUGUCUC
rnacentral:rRNA from 1 species